UACGGGGGGGGCAAGCGUUGUUCGGAAUUACUGGGCGUAAAGGGCUCGUAGGCGGCCAACUAAGUCAGACGUGAAAUCCCUCGGCUUAACCGGGGAACUGCAUCUGAUACUGGAUGGCUUGAGUUCGGGAGAGGGAUGCGGAAUUCCAGGUGUAGCGGUGAAAUGCGCAGAUAUCAGGAGGAACACCGGUGGCGAAGGCGGGUCUCUGGGCCGUAACUGACGCUGAGGCGCGAAAGCAUGGGGAGCGAACAGG
rnacentral:rRNA from 1 species